rnacentral:rRNA from 1 species
AGUGACACAGGGAGGUAGUGACAAGGACACUGUCAGAGGUGAAAUUCUUAGACAGUGACACAGGGAGGUAGUGACAAGA